UAGCUCUCGAAAACCUCUCGUAACUCACUUUUGAUCAUUUCAACACCUUCGGACUUUCCGAAGUGUACCGUCCUCGCACUUUGGUCAAUUUGACUAAAGUUCAAUAUUUAUUUUCCGAAUUUUCGGUAUAUUACAAUUAGCCAUCCUGAUCUCUCGUGAGCCCUAAUUUGAUCAAAUUUCAAAUUAACUAAUUCAAAAUUUCAAAAUUCAAUUUAUUAAAUUUU
rnacentral:lncRNA from 1 species